rnacentral:rRNA from 1 species
GACGAACGCUGGCGGCGUGCCUAAUACAUGCAAGUAGAACGCUGAAGCGAGGAGCUUGCUCUUCUUGGAUGAGUUGCGAACGGGUGAGUAACGCGUAGGUAACCUGCCUUGUAGCGGGGGAUAACUAUUGGAAACGAUAGCUAAUACCGCAUAACAAUGGAUGACACAUGUCAUUUAUUUGAAAGGGGCAAUUGCUCCACUACAAGAUGGACCUGCGUUGUAUUAGCUAGUAGGUGAGGUAAUGGCUCACCUAGGCGACGAUACAUAGCCGACCUGAGAGGGUGAUCGGCCACACUGGGACUGAGACACGGCCCAGACUCCUACGGGAGGCAGCAGUAGGGAAUCUUGGGCAAUGGGGGCAACCCUGACCGAGCAACGCCGCGUGAGUGAAGAAGGUUUUCGGAUCGUAAAGCUCUGUUGUAAGUCAAGAACGGGUGUGAGAGUGGAAAGUUCACACUGUGACGGUAGCUUACCAGAAAGGGACGGCUAACUACGUG